rnacentral:rRNA from 1 species
GAUGAACGCUAGCUACAGGCUUAACACAUGCAAGUCGAGGGGCAGCACAGUGUAGCAAUACAUGGGUGGCGACCGGCGCACGGGUGCGUAACGCGUAUCCAACCUUCCCGUUACUCAGGGAUAGCCUUCCGAAAGGGAGAUUAAUACCUGAUGGUGUUCAAAUUCCGCAUGUUAUUUGAACUAAAGAUUUAUCGGUAACGGAUGGGGAUGCGUGACAUUAGGUAGAUGGCGGGGUAACGGCCCACCAUGCCUACGAUGUCUAGGGGGUUCUGAGAGGAAGGUCCCCCACACUGGAACUGAGACACGGUCCAGACUCCUACGGGAGGCAGCAGUGAGGAAUAUUGGUCAAUGGUCGGAAGACUGAACCAGCCAAGUAGCGUGAAGGAUGAAGGUUCUAUGGAUUGUAAACUUCUUUUAUACGGGAAUAAAACGUCCCACGUGUGGGAUCUUGUAUGUACCGUAUGAAUAAGCAUCGGCUAACUCCGUG